ensembl:snRNA U6 U6 spliceosomal RNA
AUGUUCACUUCAGCAGUAUCUAUACUAAAAUUGGAACCAUACAGAGAAGAUUAUCAUGGACCCAUGCAAGGAUGACAGGCAAAUUUGUGAAGCGUUGCAUAUUUUU